GACGAACGCUGGCGGCGUGCUUAACACAUGCAAGUCGAACGGAAAGGCCCUGCUUUUGUGGGGUGCUCGAGUGGCGAACGGGUGAGUAACACGUGAGUAACCUGCCCUUGACUUUGGGAUAACUUCAGGAAACUGGGGCUAAUACCGGAUAGGAGCUCCUGCUGCAUGGUGGGGGUUGGAAAGUUUCGGCGGUUGGGGAUGGACUCGCGGCUUAUCAGCUCGUUGGUGGGGUAGUGGCUUACCAAGGAUUUGACGGGUAGCCGGCCUGAGAGGGUGACCGGCCACAUUGGGACUGAGAUACGGCCCAGACUCCUACGGGAGGCAGCAGUGGGGAAUAUUGCACAAUGGGCGGAAGCCUGAUGCAGCAACGCCGCGUGCGGGAUGACGGCCUUCGGGUUGUAAACCGCUUUCGCCUGUGACGAAGCGUGAGUGACGGUAAUGGGUAAAGAAGCACCGGCUAACUACGUG
rnacentral:rRNA from 1 species